rnacentral:rRNA from 1 species
ACGCUCGACACCUACGGGAGGCAGCAGUGAGGAAUAUUGGUCAAUGGGCGCAGGCCUGAACCAGCCAAGUAGCGUGAAGGAUGACUGCCCUAUGGGUUGUAAACUUCUUUUAUAUGGGAAUAAAGUUUUCCACGUGUGGAAUUUUGUAUGUACCAUAUGAAUAAGGAUCGGCUAACUCCGUGGCAGCAGCCGCGGUAAUCUGAGCGGGCUGGCAAGGC